rnacentral:rRNA from 1 species
ACGAACGCUGGCGGCGUGCCUAAUACAUGCAAGUAGAACGCUGAAGGAGGAGCUUGCUUCUCUGGAUGAGUUGCGAACGGGUGAGUAACGCGUAGGUAACCUGCCUGGUAGCGGGGGAUAACUAUUGGAAACGAUAGCUAAUACCGCAUAAUAGUAGAUGUUGCAUGACAUUUGCUUAAAAGGUGCAAUUGCAUCACUACCAGAUGGACCUGCGUUGUAUUAGCUAGUUGGUGGGGUAACGGCUCACCAAGGCGACGAUACAUAGCCGACCUGAGAGGGUGAUCGGCCACACUGGGACUGAGACACGGCCCAGACUCCUACGGGAGGCAGCAGUAGGGAAUCUUCGGCAAGGGACGGAAGUCUGACCGAGCAACGCCGCGUGAGUGAAGAAGGUUGUCGGAUCGUAAAGCUCUGUUGUAAGAGAAGAACGAGUGUGAGAGUGGAAAGUUCACACUGUGACGGUAUCUUACCAGAAAGGGACGGCUAACUACGUG